ensembl:scaRNA
AAGCACCAGAUACAAGCCUGACAGUCUGCUCCGCCCUGUGCGUGUUGCACAAUGGGGUUAACCUAUGACUGCAUGGCUUCAAAAGGUGCGAGAACAACAUCAGCCCUGAGAUUUAAGCCCUUCAGUGGAAAGCAACACUGUUGAGUUAUAACUCAGAGGCACAAAU